ensembl:lncRNA
AUGAUGCAGAUCCACACCGACCAUAGCUGUAGCUAUAUGAUGCAGAUCCACACCGACCAUAGCUGUAGCUAUAUGAUGCAGAUCCACACCGACCAUAGCUGUAGCUAUAUGAUGCAGAUCCACACCGACCAUAGCUGUAGCUAUAUGAUGCAGAUCCACACCGACCAUAGCUGUAGCUAUAUGAUGCAGAUCCACACCGACCAUAGCUGUAGCUAUAUGAUGCAGAUCCACACCGACCAUAGCUGUAGCUAUAUGAUGCAGAUCCACACCGACCAUAGCUGUAGCUAUAUGAUGCAGAUCCACACCGACCAUAGCUGUAGCUAUAUGAUGCAGAUCCACACCGACCAUAGCUGUAGCUAUAUGAUGCAGAUCCACACCGACCAUAGCUGUAGCUAUAUGAUGCAGAUCCACACCGACCAUAGCUGUAGCUAUAUGAUGCAGAUCCACACCGACCAUAGCUGUAGCUAUAUGAUGCAGAUCCACACCGACCAUAGCUGUAGCUAUAUGAUGCAGAUCCACACCGACCAUAGCUGUAGCUAUAUGAUGCAGAUCCACACCGACCAUAGCUGUAGCUAUAUGAUGCAGAUCCACACCGACCAUAGCUGUAGCUAUAUGAUGCAGAUCCACACCGACCAUAGCUGUAGCUAUAUGAUGCAGAUCCACACCGACCAUAGCUGUAGCUAUAUGAUGCAGAUCCACACCGACCAUAGCUGUAGCUAUAUGAUGCAGAUCCACACCGACCAUAGCUGUAGCUAUAUGAUGCAGAUCCACACCGACCAUAGCUGUAGCUAUAUGAUGCAGAUCCACACCGACCAUAGCUGUAGCUAUAUGAUGCAGAUCCACACCGACCAUAGCUGUAGCUAUAUGAUGCAGAUCCACACCGACCAUAGCUGUAGCUAUAUGAUGCAGAUCCACACCGACCAUAGCUGUAGCUAUAUGAUGCAGAUCCACACCGACCAUAGCUGUAGCUAUAUGAUGCAGAUCCACACCGACCAUAGCUGUAGCUAUAUGAUGCAGAUCCACACCGACCAUAGCUGUAGCUAUAUGAUGCAGAUCCACACCGACCAUAGCUGUAGCUAUAUGAUGCAGAUCCACACCAACCAUAGCUGUAGCUAUAUGAUGCAGAUCCACACCGACCAUAGCUGUAGCUAUAUGAUGCAGAUCCACACCGACCAUAGCUGUAGCUAUAUGAUGCAGAUCCACACCGACCAUAGCUGUAGCUAUAUGAUGCAGAUCCACACCGACCAUAGCUGUAGCUAUAUGAUGCAGAUCCACACCGACCAUAGCUGUAGCUAUAUGAUGCAGAUCCACACCGACCAUAGCUGUAGCUAUAUGAUGCAGAUCCACACCGACCAUAGCUGUAGCUAUAUGAUGCAGAUCCACACCGACCAUAGCUGUGGCUAUAUGAUGCAGAUCCACACCGACCAUAGCUGUAGCUAUAUGAUGCAGAUGCAGAAGCACAUUAUCUUCAAUAUGAAGAUAAAAGUCAAUAUACCUUUGCUUCAAUUGACUCAAGAUUACACACAUCAAAUGUGGGGAUCUCAUUUUAACCAGGGGCAGCUAAAGACAGGAACAGAUCUGUUACUCAUACACAUAUUUGCUGUUUCUUGGUUGGUCUUUUUUCUCCCGGUCUUUUCCCUCAGUGGGAUUUUCCCAACGUCUUGA